CUUCCAUCCAGGUGCUCUUGCCAGUGCCGUGAGCUAUCAUUUGAGUCAGCACACUGGCGCUACUGGCUCGGGACAAGUAAAACCCAUCAUGGCCUUUCAGAGAGAUAAAAACAGGUCAGACCCAGAGGCCCCCAACAUCAUUACACAAAAGAGCAGUAAAACAAAUAAAAAGAGAACAGCCCUACGACAGAUAACUGGCUAGCCAAGUCAGUCAGUUCUGAACUUCGGGCAAGCACAAACUGUCCAUCUUUAUGCUCCCUUACUACUGUUCAGACAGCAAUGCAGUCCACCUUGUACAUCAGCAAAUCAUAGUAUCUGCAGUUUUUUUUUUUUUUUGUUCAUUGAGCCUCUCUUCAGCCAGGCCCACGCCGUUGCUUUCACUCUUGCCACUGUCCCUUCCAUAGAGAAUUCAUCACCCCUGAAUAUCAUCUCGUUCCUUGUACACGCACCAUACUACCCAGAUUAUCACCCCUGCAAACUUACUGGGUUUUGCAAAAAAUUAAAAUUUAAUUUAAUGACUUGUAUAUAAUAAAAUUGAAAUUUAAACCCAUAUCGUGUUUCAGCAAAAAAAAAUUGACAUACAGAAAAUUGUCUAGAAUGGCAAAGCUCUGAGCCUCUGCUAU
rnacentral:lncRNA from 1 species